rnacentral:rRNA from 1 species
AGACUAUACUAGAGUUUGAUCCUGGCUCAGGACGAACGCUGGCGGCGUGCUUAACACAUGCAAGUCGAACGGUGAAGCCUUUCGGGGUGGAUCAGUGGCGAACGGGUGAGUAACACGUGGGCAAUCUGCCCUGCAUUCUGGGACAAGCCUUGGAGACGAGGUCUAAUACCGGAUACGACGCAUCUCCGCAUGGGGUGUGCGUGGAAAGCUCCGGCGAUGCAGGAUGAGCCCGCGGCCUAUCAGCUUGUUGGUGGGGUAAUGGCCUACCAAGGCGACGACGGGUAGCCGGCCUGAGAGGGCGACCGGCCACACUGGGACUGAGACACGGCCCAGACUCCUACGGGAGGCAGCAGUGGGGAAUAUUGCACAAUGGGCGAAAGCCUGUACAGCGACGCCGCGUGAGGGAUGACGGC